rnacentral:ncRNA from 1 species
UAAAUGUCGAAAGAAUAGUAUUAAAUUUUGUUGUUUUAGAGAGUUGACGGUUGGUGAAAGUCAAUACAAUAGGUUUAAGAAUCCACUUUUAAAAGACGUGUAACGAAAACAAUUUUUGAUUAAGUUACACCGGUAAGCAAUGGCCGUUAUUCUGCAUUUAAUGAAGGCACGUUUCUGUGCAAAAAUCUGGGUGGUACCGCGAAAUUCAACCUCUCGCCCCAAAA